rnacentral:rRNA from 1 species
AUGGCCACAGAAAGGGCGGUGCUUACACCUUUGAGAGUCAGAGCUGCGCGCUUGCGUUCUGGUUUCUAUGUCGAUGACGCAGCCUUGUUCAUCAAUCCCGUUGCCCAAGAUUUUGCUGCAGUGCAUGCCAUUCUUAAGGUUUUUGGGGAUGCCUCUGGGCUGUGGGCCAACAUCGCCAAGACCGUGGCUUAUCCUAUCUCCUGCUCUGGGAUCAACAUUGAGAGUAUGUGGAGUGUUUUUGGUGGGAUUUUGGGGUCAUUCCCGUGUCAAUACCUAGGGCUGCCAAUUGGGCUUCGGAAGCCGAGAAGAGCUGAAGUUCAGCCGGUCUUGGACAAAUUUGCAGGCAAGCUUGCUCCUAGGAAGGGGAGAUUACUAAAUAGGAUGGGAAGGCUUGUG